AUACGUAGGUGGCAAGCGUUAUCCGGAUUUAUUGGGCGUAAAGGGUGCUCAGUCGGUUGAUUAAGUUUGUAGUGAAAGCUCGGGGCUCAACCCCGGGUUGCUAUGAAAACUGGUCAGCUAGAGUGCAGAAGAGGGUAGUGGAAUUCCAUGUGUAGCGGUAAAAUGCGUAGAUAUAUGGAGGAACACCAGUGGCGAAGGCGGCUACCUGGUCUGUAACUGACGAUCAAGCACGAAAGCGUGGGGAGCAAAUAGGAUUAGAUACCCUAGUAGUCCACGCCGUAAACGAUGAAUACUAAGUGUUGGGGAAACUCAGUGCUGCAGUUAACGCAUUAAGUAUUCCGCCUGAGGAGUACGUGCGCAAGCAUAAA
rnacentral:rRNA from 1 species